GGAGUUAGCCGGUGCUUCUUCUGCGAGUAACGUCACAGAUGUAAGGUAUUAACUUACACCCUUUCCUCCUCGCUUAAAGUGCUUUACAACCCGAAGGCCUUCUUCACACACGCGGCAUGGCUGCAUCAGGGUUUCCCCCAUUGUGCAAUAUUCCCCACUGCUGCCUCCCGUAGGAGUCUGGGCCGUGUCUCAGUCCCAGUGUGGCUGAUCAUCCUCUCAGACCAGCUAGGGAUCGUCGCCUAGGUGAGCCUUUACCUCACCUACUAGCUAAUCCCACCUGGGCUUAUCCAUCAGCGCAAGGCCCGAAGGUCCCCUGCUUUCCCCCGUAGGGCGUAUGCGGUAUUAGCAGUCGUUUCCAACUGUUAUCCCCCACAAAUGGGCAAAUUCCCAGGCAUUACUCACCCGUCCGCCGCUCGUCAUCUUCAAAAGCAAGCUUUUGAAAUGUUACCGCUCGACUUGCAUGUGUUAGGCCUGCCGCCAGCGUUCAAUCUGAGCCAUGAUCAAACUCUGA
rnacentral:rRNA from 1 species